rnacentral:sRNA from 1 species
UUUUUUUAUUUUUUUAUUAUUAUUAUUCUUUUAAUACUAGUAGGUUCAUGACCGAAUUCUAUAAUCCCUCUUAGGCCCGAAAGUACAGCAUGUAAUAUUAGUUUCGUCCUAACGUCGAACCGACGACCUCUAAGCUUCACCUAAUAUCUUUAUCAAUUGAGCUAACGACACUUGAGUUAAAUUUUAUUUUAUUGCAGAUGAUAUAGAUGAGAAGAUCGACAAUUUACGUUCAGCAGCAGCUCA